CUAUGUACAAAAAAUGUAUGAAAACACAUGUAGAUACAUGUACAAUGUAUGUGAAUGCAUCUUUUUGUAAAGGUCUUUAUACAUGUUAUAUGUGUGAACAUGUAUGUAUGUACAUGAUGUAACUAGAGCAUAUGUGUGAAUGAAUAUAUAUGUAAGUGUGAAUGCAUGUAUGUAGGUAUGUAAGUUAUGUAUGCAUGAAAGUGAAGUAUAAAAUUAAUUUGGAAAGAAAAGGGGGGAUAAAGGUAAAAAAAAUAAAUAGUUUUUAGGCAAUAUUCAACAUGUAUUCUAUUAUAUCUGUACAACAAAGAUUAUGUACAUUUUCAUAUGUUUAAUGAUGUUUUUCUUUUUUUAUGUGAAAC
rnacentral:lncRNA from 1 species